UUCCUUCCCCUUCCUUCCUUCCUUCCUUCCUUCCUUCCUUCCUUCCUUCCUUCCUGGUAAAAUACUAGAAUUACUUCAUCAGUAAGGUCAGUGCCACUGUAACAAAAUAUACGAGAGUGGGUAGUUUAUGAUGAAUAGAAGCUUACUGCUCUUUUUGAGGCAAUUUGCUGAGAUUUUUGCUCCAUUGGAGCCUCUACUGCUGUUAUCUUCCACAAAAGAGAAAUAUGGUUGAACAGAUUGAAAGGAAUAAGUAUAUUUCCUUAUUUUCCUUCUUUUAAGAGCAGGAUAUUUCCUGAAAGGUCCAACUGGCCAUUCUUUAUUGAACAUUACAUUUCUCAUACAUGAACUUGGCAGCAAAUUAGACCAUACCACUAGCUUACACAUGACUGUAAAAAUGAAAGCCCAUGAAGAGAGGAAAACUAAACAGUUGGGUGGUUCAGUUAAAGUCCUCAGUGAAGACAGGUGCAUGGCUCCUUUUGUACAGGAGAAAUGGGAUCUAUUUCCACUGAUAACAUCUUGUGUUGUUCAGGAGUGGCUUUUUCAGAGAAAUCUGUAUAGCAGAUCUGGAAAAUACAUGCUUAGUAAUUAGAAUCUUUUUAACUUGGUAUUUUGAAAUAAUUUUAAAAAUUGAAAGAACUCUAUGUCCAUUGUUCACCUCAUCUCUGGUGUGUAUACAAGCCUUUUAAAUUCUGGACCUGUUUUUUAUUUCUUUUUGGGGGCACAUAUAAGAAUAAGAAGUCUUUGCUGUCACGAGGUAUAACUUGAGACAGAAAGUAAACAAGUGUGUGAACAACAGCAUCUCAGAUAGUUUGCCUUUUGGGAGAUUGGUAUUUGGUAGAGGUUCUUUAAAUAAAGUCACCAAAGACUGGAAAAGGGACAUUUAAAUUUUAGUUGUUGUAAAUUUGAGUUGUGGAUUCACGUCAAGGGUGAUGGUUGUUGUCCACAGUAGGCUCUAAGAAUGAAUGGAUGUUUCCCUGGAGUUAAAGCAAGUGCAGAAACAGUCAGGUGACCAUACAAUGGAAGUGUCUGUGAUAUAGAUUGAUCAGUGUGGCUGGAAAAGAGAGGAAAGAGUGUGUGUGUGUGUGUGUGUGUGUGUGUGUGUGUGUGUGUGUUAUAUUAUGGGGGUUGUGAUAAACUGUUUGUUCUUAGUAUUGCCUGUAGAUAGCUUAGGGAGUUUGACUAUUCUUGGGAGUAGAAGACUGAUAUUGUUGAAUAUAAAUUUUAAAGAGUUCUUUGAAAUAAUAGAGAGUACAUAACAGUUGAAGAAAGGGAAUGGAGGUGUUAGGCUGUUGUAGAUAUUGAAGUAGGAGAUGAAGUCUUGUUUCAGAUUCAUUUUAUUUGAACACUUUGAGAUUAUUUCAACUUUUACUGGAUUUCCAAAUAGAGUAUUGAUCUCUAAAUAGAUAACUCAGUGUUUCUCUUGAUUUUGUUACUUACUUGUGUUGUCUUUACAAAGGCUAUAUUCUCCAAGAGUAAUCAUUUAUUUUUUGAUUUCAGUGAAUUGUGGGUAUAAUUGAUACUUAUUUUUUUCCUAAGGGUUUUUUUUUUUUUUGUUUUUUUUGUUUUUUUUUUGUUUGUUGUUUUGUUUUGGCUGAGGGUGGGGACUGGGUAGCUCACUGAUAGAGCCUUUCCUAGAAUUCAUCAAACCCUGGGUGUAAUGUCUCUUUCUCUGUCUCUGUCUUGCUCUGUCACACAUACAGUUUUACUGUAUAAUUUUAGUCAGUUUCUUAUUUUCUGAAGAGUAGGAGUGCCAGGUAAGUAUAGAAGGAAGACUUAAAUUACAAUUUUAGAUGGCUAGGCAGAUAGCUCAAUCAGUAAAGUGCUGGAGAAUCUCAGCUCACUCCUUAGAAUGCCCCUUAUAGGAGGGAAAUAACCAGGACAUGGAGGCAUACAUUUAUAAACCCAAUCCUGGGAAGGUGGCAACAGGAGGAUGCUUGGAUCUCACUGACUACUCACUCUGCACUAUUGACAGACCCCAGGUUGGUGAGAGACCGUGGCUGAAAAUUCAAGGUACAACUGAUACAUCAGGAAAGAUACCCAAAGUUGUCUUCUUGUGUACAAAUGCAUAGUGUGCACGCACCAUCCACACAUACGUGUUUUCACUAAUGGAACAACUUACUUUAACUUAAAAAAUGAGACAAUGCAAAGCCAGCACUACUUUCAAGGGGCGUUCACAUUAAGCAGAGUUGACAUUUCAAAAAUAAAAGUGAAAUUAUUAAUUACCAUGUGAUAAGCAGAAAGGUAGAGAUAUUUUGUAGAUAAUAUGAGUGAACAUAAUAAUUUUCCAGCUCAUGCAUACAUUUUCCUUUUUGAUCUUCUCUCCAUACUGCACGAUUCUGUACAUGAUAAUGUAAUGUGAACUUACAAAUUUUUAAAUGGUUUUCAGACAAGUGACUAGAUUAUUUUGUAGUAUAUUAUAGCAUUUAAUUAAUUAAUUAAUUUAUUUAUUAUUUUUGGCUCUGUAUCUAUGUGAACGGUAUGUUUGUACCAUGGGGUUGCCUGCCUGCCUGUGUGUAUGUCUGUCAUCUGUCAGUGGAUAACUUUGGAGUUUGUUAUUUUGUUCCAUCUUUAUUUGUGUUCUGUGAUCCACGUUCAAGUUGGAUCUUAUGUGACAGGCACCUUUACCUGCUGAAUUUUCUUGCUGGACCCAAAUUUUAAUGUGUUUUUUUUCUUUUAGUAUAUUAUUUAUUGGUAUCAUUUAAGGCAGGUUUGUGCUCUGUAUGUCAGACUAGCCUGGAACUUACUAAAUAGCUCUUGCUGGCCUCAAAGACAAACUAUAAACAUGAGCUAAAACAAUAAGUCAUAAAACUUGUAGUAAGUCGUAUGUUAUCCAACCUCAGUAAAUUGGUGUUGAGGCUAGGGUAUGUAGGCUCUUUUCUUGGGUAAUUUUCCAUGCUCUUGAAUACACAUUUAGGAAGUCACUAAAAGAGAUGGCAGCUGCGUGUAUUUGGGAUGUUUAUGACAUUACCAGAGAGGGUGGGAGAGCUUGAAGCAGAGAUGCUUUGAGACAAUAGUUGGUUAAUGAGUUUGCUUGUAUGUACAAGAGAAAAGAAUGGGCCUGAUUGCUCACAAUUUGAAGCCUG
rnacentral:lncRNA from 1 species